UACGUAGGGUGCAAGCGUUGUCCGGAAUUAUUGGGCAUAAAGAGCUCGUAGGCGGUUUGUUGCGUCGGCUGUGAAAUCCCGAGGCUCAACCUCGGGUCUGCAGUCGAUACGAGCAAACUAGAGUGUUGCAGGGGAGACUGGAAUUCCUGGUGUAGCGGUGAAAUGCGCAGAUAUCAGGAGGAACACCGGUGGCGAAGGCGGGGUCUCU
rnacentral:rRNA from 1 species